rnacentral:rRNA from 1 species
GAGCACGUAGGUGGGUUUGUAAGUCAGAUGUGAAAGCCUUCUGUUCAACGGAAGAAUUGCAUCUGAAACUGCGAGUCUUGAGUGUAGGAGGGGAGAAUGGAACUUCUGGUGGAGCGGUGAAAUGCGUAGAUAUCAGAAGGAACGCCGGCAGCGAAAGCGAUUCUCUGGCCUAUUACUGACACUCAGUGUGCGAAAGCUAGGGGAGCAAACGGGAUUAGAUACCCCGGUAGUCCUAGCCGUAAACGAUGGGCACUAAGUAGAGGGG